rnacentral:rRNA from 1 species
UGAAUACGAGACGCUAAGGCGUCGAAGUAGUGUAUGUCAUACUUCCAAGAAAAGCUUGCACUGUCAUAGAUAAAAAACGCCUGUACCAUAACCGACACAGGUGGGUAGGUAGAGUAUACUAAGGGGCGCGAGAUAACUCUCUCUAAGGAACUCGGCAAAAUAACUCCGUAACUUCGGGAGAAGGAGUGCCUUAUUCGUAAGGUUGCAAUAACAAGAUCCAAGCAACUGUUUAUCAAAAACACAGGUCUCCGCUAAGUCGUAAGACGAUGUAUGGGGGCUGACGCCUGCCCAGUGCCAGAAGGUUAAAGAAGUUGGUUAGCAAUUGCGAAGCUGAUAACUGAAGCCCUGGUGAACGGCGGCCGUAACAAUAACGGUCCUAAGGUAGCGAAAUUCCUUGUCGGGUAAGUUCCGACCCGCACGAAAGGCGUAAUGAUUUGGAUACUGUCUCGGAGAGGGGCUCGGUGAAAUAGACUUGUCUGUGAAGAUGCGGACUACCUGCACCAGGACAGAAAGACCCUAUGAAGCUUUACUGUAACUUGAAAUUGAAAUUGGACUUUAUUCGCGCAGUAUAGGUGGGAGGCGUUGAUUAUAAUCUUGUGGGAUUAUUGGAGCCAUCAGUGAGAUACCACUCUUGUAAUGUUAGAUUUCUAACUUUGAAUCAUUAUCUGGUCAAAGAACAGUUUCAGGCGGGCAGUUUGACUGGGGCGGUCGCCUCCUAAACGGUAACGGAGGCGUACAAAGGUUUCCUCUGAACGGUUAGAAAUCGUAUCUAGAGUGUAAAGGCAUAAGGAAGCUUGACUGUGAGACCUACAAGUCGAGCAGGGACGAAAGUCGGUCUUAGUGAUCUGACGGUACUGAGUGGAAAGGCCGUCACUCAACGGAUAAAAGUUACUCUAGGAUAACAGGCUGAUCUCCCCCAAGAGUUCACAUCGACGGGGAGGUUUGGCACCUCGAUGUCGGCUCAUCGCAUCCUGGGGCGGUAGUACGUCCCAAGGGUUGGGCUGUUCGCCCAUGAAAGCGGUACGCGAGCUGGGUUCAGAACGUCGUGAGACAGUUCGGUCCAUAUCCGGUGUAGGCGUUAGAAUAUUGAGAGGAGCCUUCUUUAGUACGAGAGGACCGAGAAGGACAUACCUCUGGUGUACCAGUUAUCGUGCCAACGGUAAACGCUGGGUAGCUAUGUAUGGAGUGGAUAACCGCUGAAAGCAUCUAAGUGGGAAGCCCACCUCAAGAUAAGUAUUC